UACGUAGGGGGCAAGCGUUGUCCGGAAUCAUUGGGCGUAAAGAGCGUGUAGGCGGUCCGGUAAGUCGGUUGUGAAAGCCCAGGGCUCAACCCUGGGAUGCCGACCGAUACUGUCGGACUAGAGUUCGGAAGAGGCGAGUGGAAUUCCCGGUGUAGCGGUGAAAUGCGCUGAUAUCGGGAGGAACACCUAUGGCGAAGGCAGCUCGCUGGGACGUUACUGACGCUGAGACGCGAAAGCGUGGGGAGCAAACAGG
rnacentral:rRNA from 1 species